CCCGGUAUAGCAAAGUAAUGCGUAGGGCUUAAAACCCUAAGAUAAUAUGACUAAUCACAUUUACUGGAA
rnacentral:tRNA from 1 species